rnacentral:misc_RNA from 1 species
AGCAGGGCUAAUAGCUUUCAAAAAUUUCAACAACCACCCUGGUUGCAUGGCAUUAGAAGAAGAAACAAAUAAAGCUAUCUUUCUAUAAUCAAGAAUCCCUUCAAAAGGGAGCUCCAAUUCAUCACUACACUAAUUAUUACAGGGAUGCACCCACUGACAAUAGCAUCAAAUAAUCUGGCGGAUGAUGGAGUGUCACCAGCUGGAUUUAAGCAAAAGAUGGACUUGCGCAUGCCAAUCUGGGC